rnacentral:rRNA from 1 species
UACGAAGGGUGCAAGUGUUACUCGGAAUUACUGGGCGUAAAGCGUGCGUAGGUGGUUUUUUAAGUCCGUUGUGAAAGCCCUGGGCUCAACCUGGGAAUGGCAGUGGAUACUGGAAAGCUAGAGUGCGGUAGAGGGUAGUGGAAUUCCCGGUGUAGCAGUGAAAUGCGUAGAUAUCGGGAGGAACACCAGUGGCGAAGGCGGUUGCCUGGAGCUUUGCUGACGCUGAUGCGCGAAAGCGUGGGGAGCGAUCCGG